rnacentral:rRNA from 1 species
CCUACGGGAGACAGCAGUGGGGAAUAUUGCACAAUGGGGGAAACCCUGAUGCAGCGACGCCGCGUGAGUGAAGAAGUAAUUCGUUAUGUAAAGCUCUAUCAGCAGGGAAGAAAAUGACGGUACCUGAGUAAGAAGCCCCGGCUAACUACGUGCAAGCAGCCGCGGUAAUAAGUAGGGGGCAAGCGUUAUCCGGAUUUACUGGGUGUAAAGGGAGUGUAGACGGCAGUGCAAGUCUGGAGUGAAAGGCGGGGGCUCAACCCCCGGACUGCUCUGGAAACUGUACGGCUGGAGUGCAGGAGAGGUAAGUGGAAUUCCUAGUGUAGCGGUGAAAUGCGUAGAUAUUAGGAGGAACACCAGUGGCGAAGGCGGCUUACUGGACUGUAACUGACGUUGAGGCUCGAAAGCGUGGGGAGCAAACAGGAUUAGAUACCCGUGUAGUC